rnacentral:rRNA from 1 species
GUAGUCCACGCCGUAAACGAUGAGUGCUAAGUGUUAGAGGGUUUCCGCCCUUUAGUGCUGCAGCAAACGCAUUAAGCACUCCGCCUGGGGAGUACGGCCGCAAGGCUGAAACUCAAAGGAAUUGACGGGGGCCCGCACAAGCGGUGGAGCAUGUGGUUUAAUUCGAAGCAACGCGAAGAACCUUACCAGGUCUUGACAUCUCCUGACAAUCCUAGAGAUAGGACGUUCCCCUUCGGGGGACAGGAUGACAGGUGGUGCAUGGUUGUCGUCAGCUCGUGUCGUGAGAUGUUGGGUUAAGUCCCGCAACGAGCGCAACCCUUGAUCUUAGUUGCCAGCAUUUAGUUGGGCACUCUAAGGUGACUGCCGGUGACAAACCGGAGGAAGGUGGGGACUCAUGGGAGACUGCCGGGGUCAACUCGGA